CACGCCGUAAACGAUGAGAACUAGCCGUUGGGGUCCUUGAGACCUUAGUGGCGCAGCUAACGCACUAAGUUCUCCGCCUGGGGAGUACGGCCGCAAGGUUAAAACUCAAAUGAAUUGACGGGGGCCCGCACAAGCGGUGGAGCAUGUGGUUUAAUUCGACGCAACGCGAAGAACCUUACCUGGCCUUGACAUCCCGCGAACCCUGCAGAGAUGCGGGGGUGCCUUCGGGAACGCGGAGACAGGUGC
rnacentral:rRNA from 1 species